rnacentral:tRNA from 1 species
GGGGUUGUAGUUAACCAUAACAUUUGAUUUGCAUUCAAAAAGUACUGCACCAGCAGUCAACCUCA